rnacentral:rRNA from 1 species
GACGAACGCUGGCGGCGUGCUUAACACAUGCAAGUCGAACGGAAAGGCCCUGCUCUUGUGGGGUGCUCGAGUGGCGAACGGGUGAGUAACACGUGAGUAACCUGCCCUUGACUUUGGGAUAACUUCAGGAAACUGGGGCUAAUACCGGAUAGGAGCUCCUGCUGCAUGGUGGGGGUUGGAAAGUUUCGGCGGUUGGGGAUGGACUCGCGGCUUAUCAGCUUGUUGGUGGGGUAGUGGCUUACCAAGGCUUUGACGGGUAGCCGGCCUGAGAGGGUGACCGGCCACAUUGGGACUGAGAUACGGCCCAGACUCCGACGGGAGGCAGCAGUGGGGAAUAUUGCACAAGGGGCGGCAGCCUGAUGUAGCAACGCCGCGUGCGGGAUGACGGCCUUCGGGUUGUAAACCGCUUUCGCCUGUGACGAAGCGUGAGUGACGGUAAUGGGUAAAGAAGCACCGGCUAACUACGUG